rnacentral:rRNA from 1 species
UGGGGAAUAUUGCACAAUGGGCGCAAGCCUGAUGCAGCCAUGCCGCGUGUAUGAAGAAGGCCUUCGGGUUGUAAAGUACUUUCAGCGGGGAGGAAGGGAGUAAAGUUAAUACCUUUGCUCAUUGACGUUACCCGCAGAAGAAGCACCGGCUAACUCCGUGCCAGCAGCCGCGGUAAUACGGAGGGUGCAAGCGUUAAUCGGAAUUACUGGGCGUAAAGCGCACGCAGGCGGUUUGUUAAGUCAGAUGUGAAAUCCUCGGGCUCAACCUGGGAACUGCAUCUGAUACUGGCAAGCUUGAGUCUCGUAGAGGGGGGUAGAAUUCCCGGUGUAGCGGUGAAAUGCGUAGAGAUCUGGAGGAAUCCCGGUGGCGAAGGCGGCCCCCUGGACGAAGACUGACGCACAGGUGCGACAGCGUGGGGAGCAAACAGG